rnacentral:rRNA from 1 species
GACGAACGCUGGCGGCGUGCUUAACAUAUGCAAGUCGAACGGAAAGGCCCUGCUUUUGUGGGGUGCUCGAGUGGCGAACGGGUGAGUAACACGUGAGUAACCUGCCCUUGACUUUGGGAUAACUUCAGGAAACUGGGGCUAAUACCGGAUAGGAGCUCCUGCCGCAUGGUGGGGGUUGGAAAGUUUCGGCGGUUGGGGAUGGACUCGCGGCUUAUCAGCUUGUUGGUGGGGUAGUGGCUUACCAAGGCUUUGACGGGUAGCCGGCCUGAGAGGGUGACCGGCCACAUUGGGACUGAGAUACGGCCCAGACUCCUACGGGAGGCAGCAGUGGGGAAUAUUGCACAAUGGGCGGAAGCCUGAUGCAGCAACGCCGCGUGCGGGAUGACGGCCUUCGGGUUGUAAACCGCUUUCGCCUGUGACGAAGCGUGAGUGACGGUAAUGGGUAAAGAAGCACCGGCUAACUACGUG